rnacentral:rRNA from 1 species
AUGUAUAUGGUCCUGUCUGCCAGCCCUUGCUGCUACGAUAUUCCCGACCGAGUCUCUCGCCACAGCGCCCCAUCCAGCAUGUCCAUCACCUGGGACAAAAGAUCCAUCCGCAUUGAUUUUCAGCAUAUCAUCAGGCGGGGCAGUCCACUUACUUGCAUGUAUCCCAUGACAGCGGUGCGUGUCCUCCUCGCAACCUCCGCUGCUGACGCAGCAAGCUCCCCCUUCCUCAGCUUGUUGCGUAUGCUCCACCAGUGCCACCAGAAAAUUAAAAGAAAGGAAAAAGAACGAGGGGGUAGAUGGUUAUGCAGAUGCAUUCCAUCCGCCUCCGACCGCGAAUCCGCCCCGCCGGCGAGAUUGAAAUUUCUCAGCCAGCGCUUUCUCUCCUCUCCGGUAAGCACUCCAUCCGCCUCCGACCACGAAUCCGCCCCGCCGGCGAGAUUGAAAUUUCUUAGUCCUAGUUCCUCGUUUCUUCCCUCUGCUCACGCGGUGAGAGAGGCCUCUUCGAUCGGGCGGAGAUGCGCGGGUUGUCAGUCUUUGCGCUCGAUCGCCGCCGCCGGGCCAAGGCCUCCUAUUCCUUCCUUCUGGAUCUCUCAAUUUCUCCCUGUCAAAAAGGAUUCCAGUACUACUCUGGUUUCAGCCAGACUUACAUGCUACUACUCCAACCAGAAGCGGCUAAUCUGCUAUCGUUUUUCUCUUCAACGUUUGCAGAUUAUAAGCUGGACUUCUAGACCUAGCCACCGGGGUGCAGAUUUGCCACUGAGCAAUGGGGUGUCUCCCCAAACCAAGGAACUGGAUUCCAUGGGUGUUGCCGCUAAUGAUUCUUGCACUACUCUGGGUGCUCCAAGCUUUGAGAGCAAUGGCACGGGUAGAAACGAGAAUGAGAAUGUUAUGAUAGCUGAAAAAAAUGUCAUGGUGGUUUCACAUACCGAGAGCAAUGAAGAUGACAAUUCUGAUGGCAGGAGCACCAUUGGAGAAAUGGGAGAUCUGAACAGUGCAACUGUGGCGCCAAGGGUUUUACCCUUCCAUUUAUUGGAAAAUAUUACAAAUGGUUUCUCUGAGGACCGGAAACUUGGUGCGGGUUCGUAUGGAAAUGUUUACAUGGGAGAACAUGAAGACGGGGAAAGAAUUGCUGUGAAGGUGCUUCAUUACACUCCAGGACUUGAUGAGCAAUUUGAGAAGGAGUAUCUCAACCAUGCAAGCCUCCAACACAAAAAUAUUGUGCGCUUAGUUGGCUAUUCUCAUGAAACUCAUUGUGUAUACCAACCAUAUAAUGGGAAAAUGGUUUUCGCGGAGAUGAGAAAAAGGGCGCUUUGCUUUGAAUAUAUGACUAAUGGAAGCCUUGACAAAUUUCUUUCUGAUGAAUCUAGUGGACACGAUUGGUGCACACGCUAUGCAAUAAUUAAGGGGAUCUGUGAGGGUAUGCAAUACCUGCAUGAGGAAUUGGGUUCCCCUUUAUAUCAUUUGGAUUUAAAACCAAGCAAUGUAUUGUUGGAUGAGAACAUGGUUCCAAAAAUAGCAGAUUUCGGCUUGUCAAGGCUCGGAGGAGAACACACACAAAUGACAAAAAAUGCUAUGGGAACACCUGGGUACUUACCGCCAGAGUACAUAGAUGCAGGUGUAAUCUCAAUUAAGUUUGACAUAUUCAGUUUGGGUGUUGUAAUCAUAAAGAUAAUGACCGGACCAACAGGUUACUUCAGGAUUGCUGAAAUGUCUCCCAAAGAAUUCGCCGAGCUUGUACAUGUGAAUUGGAAGAAUAUGCUACAAGCAAAAUCAUUGUAUGAGCCAUAUUCCGAACAAGCAAAGCAAUGCAUCGAAAUAGCUUUACGCUGUGUGGAUGCUGAUAGACACAAGAGACCGAGCAUAGGGGUAAUCAUCGAUAAGCUAAAUGAGAUGGAGACUGUGCUACAACUUCUUGAGGCGUCAAGGAAUGACACAGCAAUAAAGAAAAGCAGGCUCGACACGAGCCUGCGAGGCUAUCCAAGCAAUCAACAAGCUAGUUCUUCGUGUGCGUGCGUUCUUGUGUUUCCGGCCGGCUGGUCGUUGUGUACGUACGUAUACGUUGGUGUUGUUGCUGCAGCUUCACGUUGUGUUGCGGUGCACCUCGACAUGUGCCCUUGCAUUUCAACCGAGUGUGAGUUUAUGGAUAUCCGGCUAAACAAUUUUGUAGACUACACACUGCACGUAACGGACAACAGAGGUAAGGUGCAACAAGUAACAGUAACUACCGCUAGUUACCCAGCAAGCGAGACGGCAACCUUCGAGCUGAUCCGACCGAGAAUCAAGAUGAUCGACAUAUGCUGGCUUGAGCAGGGAAUUAUGAGCGUAAUGGACGUGCAUCCGACAAAGCCUUGGAUUUUGCUAGGUCAUUCAACUGGAAAGAUCUCCCUUUGGAACCAUCAGACCCAGGAAAUAAUGAGGAAAUGCAACACUAACGACGAGGGAAAUAAAGGUCAUGCGAUUAGUGCUGUUAAAUUCAUCGCACGGAUGAAUUGGUUUGUGAUGGGGAGUUUCAAUGGGCUCAUCCAGGCGUAUUCAUGUAACAAAGCACUGAAGAGGCUGAAUCAAUUCAAAGCCGGUGACCGCUGGGUCGAUUCACUGGCGGUUCACCCGAGCCAGCCGUUAGUUCUGUCAGCGUGCGACCGGCAGAUCAAAUUAUGGAACUGGGAAACUGGCUGGGCGUGCAUUAGGACAUUCGACGCGCACUCAGGUGACGUGAAGCAAGCCAAGUUUAAUCCGCAGGGUGUGGGCAACACAUUUGCUAGUGCUUCCUUGGACGGAACAGUAAAGAUCUGGAGCAUCUAUUCUCACACGCCUAUCUCGACACCAAUGCACAGUUCUCCGGAUGAACUGAAAUCGGUUGAUUAUUUUAUUGCACGUGGUGAUAGGUUAUAUAUUGUCGCAGGGUCUACGAACGGGACUGCACAUGUAUGA